GGCAAAAGCUCAAAUUUGAAAUCCCCCGGGAAUUGUAAUUUGAAGAGAUUUGGGUCCGGCCGGCAGGGGUUAAGUCCACUGGAAAGUGGCGCCACAGAGGGUGACAGCCCCGUGAACCCCUUUAACGCCUUCAUCCCAGAUCUCCAAGAGUCGAGUUGUUUGGGAAUGCAGCUCUAAGUGGGUGGUAAAUUCCAUCUAAAGCUAAAUACCGGCGAGAGACCGAUAGCGAACAAGUACAGUGAUGGAAAGAUGAAAAGCACUUUGAAAAGAGAGUGAAAAAGUACGUGAAAUUGUUGAAAGGGAAGGGCUUGCAAGCAGACACUUAACUGGGCCAGCAUCGGGGCGGCGGGGAGCAAAACCACCGGGGAAUGUACCUUUCGAGGAUUAUAACCCCGGUCCUUACUCCCUCACCAUCCCGAGGCCUGCAAUCUAAGGAUGCUGGCGUAAUGGUUGCAAGUCGCCCGUCUUGAAACACGGAC
rnacentral:rRNA from 1 species